rnacentral:rRNA from 1 species
UGGGGAAUUUUGGACAAUGGGCGAAAGCCUGAUCCAGCAAUGCCGCGUGUGUGAAGAAGGCCUUCGGGUUGUAAAGCACUUUUGUCCGGAAAGAAAUCCUUGGCUCUAAUACAGUCGGGGGAUGACGGUACCGGAAGAAUAAGCACCGGCUAACUACGUGCCAGCAGCCGCGGUAAUACGUAGGGUGCAAGCGUUAAUCGGAAUUACUGGGCGUAAAGCGUGCGCAGGCGGUUUGCUAAGACCGAUGUGAAAUCCCCGGGCUCAACCUGGGAACUGCAUUGGUGACUGGCAGGCUAGAGUAUGGCAGAGGGGGGUAGAAUUCCACGUGUAGCAGUGAAAUGCGUAGAGAUGUGAGGAAUACCGAUGGCGAAGGCAGCCCCUGGGCCAAGUACUGACGCUCAUGCACGAAA